GCAGGGGUAGCAAAGCCUGGCCNNUUUUUCUUUUCUAAAGAAAAGCCGCUAGUGAAAUCCAUUCUCUUAGGAGUUCGUGGGUUCAAAUCCCUCCCCCUGCA
rnacentral:tRNA from 1 species